ACGGAGGGUGCGAGCGUUAUCCGGAAUUACUGGGUUUAAAGGGUGCGUAGGCGGCUUGGUAAGUCAGGAGUGAAAGUUUGCGGCUCAACCGUAAAAUUGCUUUUGAUACUGCCAGGCUAGAAUCAGGAUGAGGUCAGCGGAAUGUGGCAUGUAGCGGUGAAAUGCAUAGAUAUGCCAUAGAACACCAAUUGCGAAGGCAGCUGGCUAGACCUGUAUUGACGCUGAGGCACGAAAGCGUGGGGAGCGAACAGGAUUAGAUACCCUGGUAGUCCACGCCCUAAACGAUGCUUACUCGACGUAUGGCGCUUGUCGUUGUGCGUCCAAGGGAAACCGUUAAGUAAGCCACCUGGGGAGUACGACCGCAAGGUUG
rnacentral:rRNA from 1 species